UCAAAAGCUGAAUGAGUCACUGGACACAUCUGAUUUGAGGCAGUCUGACCCGGAUGAACAACGGAGAACAAGAAAUCUGAGAAAGCGUCGAAUAAUUUACGAGUCCUCGGACACGGAUAAUGUUGAUGAGGUAAUGGAAGGGGGAACACAGCCAUCAUGUCACACUAAAGCUUCCAUGUUGCCACCUGCACCGAAACCACAAUCAAUCGCCCCGUGCUCAAGUGCUGUGGUACUGACAUGCCCAAAUGAGAGUUCACCUAGCACACCGCCAGUGACCAGAGGACUAUUUGAGCUGUCUACCUCCUCUUCAAUUGCAUUGCAGUCAGAGAGUGCGUGUUCAUCUCCCGACUUCAUGUCACUGGGCCCAAGACCUGCUCAGCACCGUAUGCUGACGCCAUGUCAAACACCCAGGGCUGGUCGCUCGCAGCAGUACACACCAUGUUCUGACACAGG